rnacentral:rRNA from 1 species
UAGUCCACGCCGUAAACGAUGGAUACUAGCUGUUCGGACUUCGGUUUGAGUGGCUAAGCGAAAGUGAUAAGUAUCCCACCUGGGGAGUACGUUCGCAAGAAUGAAACUCAAAGGAAUUGACGGGGGCCCGCACAAGCGGUGGAGCAUGUGGUUUAAUUCGAUGAUACGCGAGGAACCUUACCAAGGCUUAAAUGUAGAUUGACAGGCUGAGAGAUCGGUUUUUCUUCGGACAAUUUACAAGGUGCUGCAUGGUUGUCGUCAGCUCGUGCCGUGAGGUGUCAGGUUAAGUCCUAUAACGAGCGCAACCCCUGUUGUUAGUUACCAUCGAGUAGUGUCGGGGACUCUAACAAGACUGCCAGUGCAAACUGUGAGGAAGGUGGGGAUGACGUCAAAUCAUCACGGCCCUUACGUCUUGGGCUACACACGUGCUACAAUGGUAGGUACAGAGAGCAGCCACUUGGUAACAAGGAGCGAAUCUAUAAAACCUAUCACAGUUCGGAUCGGAGU